UAUAAUAUCAAUAUAGUGGCCGACGUCUGUCGAUAUUUCUUGCUUUCAAUCUUAAAUAUUAUGUAGUUACCAAUUUUAAAAAUAAUAUCUUAACCGAGGAAUGUGCAUAUUGGGGCAAGCCCUAAUUCCAAAUAUCAUUUAUCUCAAUAUUGAGCAUCCAAGAAGAUUGGUAAGAUCUGAGGCUUUAAAACUUUGAUAAAGAUAUAUCGCUCCACUUUUACCUCCAAAAUUGCAUAUCAACAUGGUGGGGUGACAUGUCAGUGCUUUUAUGAUGUCAGAGGACGGAGUGGAUGAAAAUGAUACAAGCUUCAAAGGUUAGACAGCUG
rnacentral:lncRNA from 1 species